AUACGUAGGGGGCGAGCGUUGUCCGGAAUGAUUGGGCGUAAAGGGCGCGUAGGCGGCCCGGUAAGUCUGGAGUGAAAGUCCUGCUUUUAAGGUGGGAAUUGCUUUGGAUACUGUCGGGCUUGAGUGCAGGAGAGGUAAGUGGAAUUCCCAGUGUAGCGGUGAAAUGCGUAGAGAUUGGGAGGAACACCAGUGGCGAAGGCGACUUUCUGGACUGUAACUGACGCUGAGGCGCGAAAGUGUGGGGAGCAAACAGGAUUAGAUACCCUGGUAGUCCACACUGUAAACGAUGAAUGCUAGGUGUAGGGGGUAUCGACCCCUUCUGUGCCGCAGUUAACACAAUAAGCAUUCCGCCUGGGGAGUACGGCCGCAAGGUUGAAACUCAAAUGAAUUGACGGGG
rnacentral:rRNA from 1 species